CAGUAGCCGCGGGAAUACGUAGGGUGCAAGCGUUAAUCGGAAUUACUGGGCGUAAAGCGUGCGCAGGCGGUUCUAUAAGACAGAUGUGAAAUCCCCGGGCUCAACCUGGGAACUGCAUUUGUGACUGUAGAGCUGGAGUGCGGCAGAGGGGGAUGGAAUUCCGCGUGUAGCAGUGAAAUGCGUAGAUAUGCGGAGGAACACCGAUGGCGAAGGCAAUCCCCUGGGCCUGCACUGACGCUCAUGCACGAAAGCGUGGGGAGCAAACAGGAUUAGAUACCCCCGUAGUCCCUGUCUCUUAUAA
rnacentral:rRNA from 1 species